UAUAAUGGGUCAGCGACUUAUAUUCUGUAGCAAGGUUAACCGUAUAGGGGAGCCGAAGGGAAACCGAGUCUUAACUGGGCGUUAAGUUGCAGGGUAUAGACCCGAAACCCGGUGAUCUAGCCAUGGGCAGGUUGAAGGUUGGGUAACACUAACUGGAGGACCGAACCGACUAAUGUUGAAAAAUUAGCGGAUGACCUGUGGCUGGGGGUGAAAGGCCAAUCAAACCGGGAGAUAGCUGGUUCUCCCCGAAAGCUAUUUAGGUAGCGCCUCGUGAACUCAUCUUCGGGGGUAGAGCACUGUUUCGGCUAGGGGGCCAUCCCGGCUUACCAACCCGAUGCAAACUACGAAUACCGAAGAAUGUUAUCACGGGAGACACACGGCGGGUGCUAACGUCCGUCGUGAAGAGGGAAACAACCCAGACCGCCAGCUAAGGUCCCAAAGUCAUGGUUAAGUGGGAAACGAUGUGGGAAGGCCCAGACAGCCAGGAUGUUGGCUUAGAAGCAGCCAUCAUUUAAAGAAAGCGUAAUAGCUCACUGGUCGAGUCGGCCUGCGCGGAAGAUGUAACGGGGCUAAACCAUGCACCGAAGCUGCGGCAGCGACGCUUAUG
rnacentral:rRNA from 1 species